UACGAAGGGGGCUAGCGUUGUUCGGAAUUACUGGGCGUAAAGCGCGCGCAGGCGGUCUUCCAAGUCAGUGGUGAAAGCCCGGAGCUCAACUCCGGAACUGCCAUUGAAACUGUAAGACUUGAGUACGAGAGAGGUGAGUGGAAUUCCCAGUGUAGAGGUGAAAUUCGUAGAUAUUGGGAAGAACACCGGUGGCGAAGGCGGCUCACUGGCUCAUUACUGACGCUCAUGCGCGACAGCGUGGGGAUCAAACAGG
rnacentral:rRNA from 1 species